rnacentral:tmRNA from 1 species
GGGGCUGAUUCUGGAUUCGACGGGAUUUGCGAAACCCAAGGUGCAUGCCGAGGGGCGGUUGGCCUCGUAAAAAGCCGCAAAAAAAUAGUCGCAAACGACGAAAACUACGCUUUAGCAGCUUAAUAACCUGCUUAGAGCCCUCUCUCCCUAGCCUCCGCUCUUAGGACGGGGAUCAAGAGAGGUCAAACCCAAAAGAGAUCGCGUGGAUGCCCUGCCUGGGGUUGAAGCGUUAAAACGAAUCAGGCUAGUCUGGUAGUGGCGUGUCCGUCCGCAGGUGCCAGGCGAAUGUAAAGACUGACUAAGCAUGUAGUACCGAGGAUGUAGGAAUUUCGGACGC